rnacentral:rRNA from 1 species
GACGAACGCUGGCGGCGUGCUUAACACAUGCAAGUCGAACGGAAAGGCCCUGCUGUUGUGGGGUGCUCGAGUGGCGAACGGGUGAGUAACACGUGAGUAACCUGCCCUUGACUUUGGGAUAACUUCGGGAAACUGGGGCUAAUACCGGAUAGGAGCGCCUGCUGCAUGGUGUGGGUUGGAAAGUUUCGGCGGGUGGGGAUGGACUCGCGGCUUAUCAGCUUGUUGGUGGGGUAGUGGCUUACCAAGGCUUUGACGGGUAGCCGGCCUGAGAGGGUGACCGGCCACAUUGGGACUGAGAUACGGCCCAGACUCCUACGGGAGGCAGCAGUGGGGAUUAUUGCACAAUGGGCGGAAGCCUGAUGCAGCAACGCCGCGUGCGGGAUGACGGCCUUCGGGUUGUAAACCGCUUUCGCCUGUGACGAAGCGUGAGUGACGGUAAUGGGUAAAGAAGCACCGGCUAACUACGUG